CCCGUGCUGCGCCUCCACGCGUCAUCCGCAUCCUCGCGUCCCCGCCGGAUCCCGUCGCCCUGCCUUGACGCCUGCUUCACCUCCCCGUGCUCCAGUCAUGCUGUCGUCCAGAGUUCCAAGUCCACCCCCUCUGUUGUUCGUCCCAAGAUCAGACGGGUCGCGGCCGGAUCUGACUCCGGUGGCCCAUCUCCGUCGGAGUUGACCUCCAUCGCAGGUCACCUGCCAAGCCGCAGGAGCAGUGUCGCUGCUGCCUUUUUUUUGUGGUUGCCAGGCCCAGAGCCACGGACGUCUCCGGAUCGCCAAGUCUAGGGACGCCAUGUUCCACUACCGUCGACCCUCGAAGGCCCCGUGGACCCCGAACAUCCACGGGACAUGAACAACUACUUUCACUACGAGAUGUAACACUACCGUCGCCAAGAUCGCGAGUACCUCUACCGUCGCCGCAGACUGAUAGCACCACUACUUCCCACUACGACACGAGAACGACUACUUCCACUACGACCCGUGAACGACUACUUCCUUCGUACCGAACUCGAUCUGCUCCGAAAUGCACGCUUCAAAGCUUCGGUUUCAUUCCGGAGUUGUGAGGAUUCGUUCGACUACGUCCGUUUGUCUUCUUCAUGGACUCAUUCUUCUUCCUAUCGGGAUUUCAGGCAAGAUGACUAUUAUCCUUGAUAUCACUUCUAUCUUUGCUUGCUAGUUGCUUCGUUCUAUCGCUAUGCUGUGCUACCUAUCACUUGUUUACCAUGCCUCCAACCUUUUCACCCUUCCUAGCAAACCGUUGCUUGGCUAUGUUACCGAUUUGCUCAGCCCCUCUUAUAGCAU
rnacentral:rRNA from 1 species